CCAACCCUGACUUGCCAAGUGCUCCAGAUGAAGCCACCCUUUCGUUGGCCCCUGUCUUGGUUUCCUUAUCCACAAAACAAAUGAACUGCUUAGAUGAUCUCUGUGGUUUAUUCUGAGAUGUGUGGCCUCAUUAACAUUUACCUUUGUAUCAGGGACAGAUGGAGAACAAAAUGAUGCCUGGGCAGUUACAAGAGACCUUAAACAAGGGGCUUGCAAGUUUUCUGAAGCUUGGAAAGAUUCAACAGUGGCAUCUGAUUGCUGUGAAAUAGUGUCUGUUUUUUACCUGAUACUGCUUUUCACUACCAACAUUGGAUGGUGGAUUUUCCAGCUUGUUCCCUGGGACCCACAAGGGAAGGCUGUGAGAUGGAAUAAUGAAGGAGAAAGACUGGGGUUGGGGUUGACAAGUUGGAUGUGGGAGCCAAAGGGCCAUGAUGGUAGGUCAUGUGUUGACCGUUUACCUCCCACUUGUAGCCAAGGUUUAUCAGCGUCCAUUCUUUUCUCUGAAAAUUCUUGAUACAAUAACACAGCUCAGAUCCAAAGAACGGCUUGGGUGGAAACGAUUAUAGCUCUAUCGACCAAGUUAAUUUUGCAAGGAUUUUGGAAGAACAAAAAUGAAAGAAAGAC
rnacentral:lncRNA from 1 species